AGCGUUGUUCGGAUUCAUUGGGCGUAAAGGGCGCGUAGGCGGUGGGGUAAGUCUGGUGUGAAAUCUCGGAGCUCAACUUCGAAAUUGCACUGGAUACUGCUCUGCUAGAGGGCUGGAGAGGAGAUCGGAAUUCACGGUGUAGCAGUGAAAUGCGUAGAUAUCGUGAGGAAGACCAGUGGCGAAGGCGGAUCUCUGGACAGCUCCUGACGCUGAGGCGCGAAGGCUAGGGGAGCAAACGGG
rnacentral:rRNA from 1 species